CUCUUGACAAAAUAUAAGAGGUCCAGCCUGCCCAGUGACUAAGUUCAACGGCCGCGGUACCCUAACCGUGCGAAGGUAGCAUAAUCACUUGUUCUUUAAUUGGGGACUCGUAUCAACGGCAUCACGAAGGCUGCACUGUCUCCUUUCUCCAAUCAGUGAAACUGAUCUCCCCGUGAAGAAGCGGGGAUAAAAUUAU
rnacentral:rRNA from 1 species